UACGGAGGGUGCAAGCGUUAUCCGGAUUCACUGGGUUUAAAGGGUGCGUAGGCGGGCAGGUAAGUAGGUGGUGAAAUCUCCGAGCUUAACUCGGAAACUGCCGUUGAUACUAUUUGUCUUGAAUAUUGUGGAGGUAAGCGGAAUAUGUCAUGUAGCGGUGAAAUGCUUAGAUAUGACAUAGAACACCAAUUGCGAAGGCAGCUUACUACACAACGAUUGACGCUGAGGCACGAAAGCGUGGGGAUCAAACAGG
rnacentral:rRNA from 1 species